rnacentral:rRNA from 1 species
UCGAGAGGGAAACAGCCCAGACCACCAAUUUAAAGGCCCCUAAAUAAUUACUAAAUGACAAAGGAUGUAAUUGUACAUAUACAAUCAGGAGGUUCGCUUAGAAGCAGCUACCCUUUAAAAAUCGCGUAAUAGCGUACUGAUCAAGUGCUUUUGCGCCGAAAAUGUACGGGACUAAGUAAUUUGCCGAAGUUGUGGGAUAAUAUCGGUAGAAGAGCGUUCUGUUUUAGUGUGAAGCAGUAGUGUAAAUAAUUGUGGACAAAGCAGAAGUGAGAAUGUCGGCUUAAGUAACGAAAACAUUGGUGGAAAUCCAAUGCCCCGAAAACCUAAGGAUUCCUUCGCAAGGUUCGUCCACGAAGGGUUAGUCAGGACCUAAAAUGAGGUUUAAAAACGUAAUUGAUGGAAAACGGGUUAAUAUUCCCGUACUGCUAUUUAUAUGAUUAGGAGGGACGAAGAAGGCUAUAUCAGUCAAACAUUGGUUGUUUUGGUUUAAUCUUUCGAGGUGUUGAGAAGCAGAAAAAAUGCUUUGAGCUGAGAAGAAAAUACGAGAGGUACUACGGUACUACAAGUGGUAAAUGUCAAGCUUCCUAGAAAAGCUCCUAUAAUUGCUUUAAAUAGUACCUGUACCUUAAACUGACACAGGUAGGUUGGUAGAGAAUACCAAGGGGCGCGAGAUAACUCUUUCUAAGGAACUCGGCAAAAUGACUCUGUAACUUCGGGAGAAAGAGUGCCAUAUUUUAAAAUAUGGUCGCAGUAAACGGACCCAAGCGACUGUUUACCAAAAACACAGGUCUCCGCUAAGUUGAAAAACUAUGUAUGGGGGCUGACGCCUGCCCAGUGCCGGAAGGUUAAAGAAAUUGGUUAGCUUACGCGAAGCUAGUGACUGAAGCCCUGGUGAACGGCGGCCGUAACUAUAACGGUCCUAAGGUAGCGAAAUUCCUUGUCGGGUAAGUUCCGACCCGCACGAAAGGCGUAACGAUUUGGGUACUGUCUCGGAAAGAGACUCGGUGAAAUAGAAUUGACUGUGAAGAUGCGGUCUACUUGCACUUGGACAGAAAGACCCUAUGAAGCUUUACUGUAACUUGAAACUGGUUUUGGGCUUUUUUUGCGCAGUAUAGGUGGGAGGCUUUGAUCCUCUUUUUCGGAAGUUGGUGAGCCGUAAUGUGAGAUACCACUCUAAAAAAGUUAAAAAUCUAAUAACAUUUUUUUAACAAGAUGAUUGACACUUUCAGGCGGGCAGUUUUACUGGGGCGGUAGCCUCCUAAAAGGUAACGGAGGCGUACAAAGGUUUUCUCAGUCUGGACGGAAAUUAGCUGGAGAGUGUAAAGACAUAAGAAAGCUUGACUGUGAGACCUACAAGUCGAACAGAGACUAAAGUCGGUCUUAGUGAUCCGACGGUGCUGUGUGGAAAGGCCGUCGCUCAACGGAUAAAAGUUACUCUAGGGAUAACAGGCUGAUCUCCCCCAAGAGUUCACAUCGACGGGGAGGUUUGGCACCUCGAUGUCGGCUCAUCGCAACCUGGGGCGGAAGUACGUCCCAAGGGUUGGGCUGUUCGCCCAUUAAAGCGGUACGUGAGCUGGGUUCAGAACGUCGAGAGACAGUUCGGUCCAUAUCCGGUGUGAGCGUUAGAGUAUUGAAAGGAGCUUUCCUUAGUACGAGAGGACCGGGAAGGACACACCACUGAUGUACCAGUUUUUGUGCCAACAGAAUACGCUGGGUAGUCAUGUGUGGAGUGGAUAACUG